CCUACGGGAGGCAGCAGUGAGGAAUAUUGGUCAAUGGACGAGAGUCUGAACCAGCCAAGCCGCGUGAAGGAAGAAUGCUCUAGGGGUUGUAAACUUCUUUUAUAAAGGAAUAAAACGAGGCACGUGUGCCUGUUUGCAUGUACUUUAAGAAAAAGGAUCGGCUAACUCCGUGCCAGCAGCCGCGGUAAUACGGAGGAUCCGAGCGUUAUCCGGAUUUAUUGGGUUUAAAGGGAGCGUAGACGGGUUGGUAAGUCAGUUGUGAAAGCUUGUGGCUCAACCGUAAAAUUGCAGUUGAUACUGGCAGUCUUGAGUACAGUUGAGGUAGGCGGAAUUCGUGGUGUAGCGGUGAAAUGCUUAGAUAUUACGAAGAACCCCGAUUGCGAAGGCAGCUUACUGGACUGUGACUGACAUUGAGGCUCGAAAGUGUGGGUAUCAAACAGGAUUAGAUACCCUUGUAGUC
rnacentral:rRNA from 1 species